UACGUAGGGGGCAAGCGUUGUCCGGAAUCAUUGGGCGUAAAGAGCGUGUAGGCGGCCAGAUAAGUCCGCUGUGAAAUCUCGAGGCUCAACUUCGAGCUGUCGGUGGAAACUGUCUGGCUAGAGUCCGGAAGAGGAGAAUGGAAUUCCCGGUGUAGCGGUGAAAUGCGCAGAUAUCAGGAGGAACACCAAUUGCGAAGGCAGCUCGCUGGGACGUUACUGACGCUGAGACGCGAAAGCGUGGGGAGCAAACAGG
rnacentral:rRNA from 1 species